GGUUGCUCCUCUUUUUUGUUUUAUUCCAUUCUUUUUUCUGCCAUGUUCGACCAGCAGCGGCGAGAUAGGGGUUGAUUUAUGUUUUGUGAUAUUUGGAAUCACGACGGUUGGCCGCUGGUGAUGGAGAUUAGGAAACCGAUCUAAAUCGUUAGUAGUCGAAAAGGACUGACAUCGAUAAACAUCUUUACAACUUGUUCAUCGAGCAUUCUUUCAAUUUCCAUUUAAGUAAGUAUCCACUAACUAUGCCUAAGUUAUAUUUUCUUUCAGUUAUCGCAAUGAGUAUCUUACAAUGCUUUAUAACUCCUUGCAAAUGACGCAGAUAUAAAUUCUGCAUCUUAUUAAGUAAACUUGGUUCUCAAACAAGAGUUUAAGAUUUGGUGUAAAGAUAACAAAAUAUCCAAUUCUUCGUUU